GAUGAACGCUGGCGGCGUGCCUAAUACAUGCAAGUCGAACGAAGAUCUAGCUUGCUAGAUCUUAGUGGCGAACGGGUGAGUAAUACAUAAAUAAUCUGCCCAUAUGACUGGGAUAACUAUUGGAAACGAUAGCUAAUACCGGAUAGGUUGAUCGGAGGCAUCUCUGAUGAAUUAAAGUAGGAUUUCUACACAAAUGGAUGAGUUUAUGGCGCAUUAGUUAGUUGGUGGGGUAACGGCCUACCAAGACGAUGAUGCGUAGCCGACCUGAGAGGGUGACCGGCCACACUGGGACUGAGAAACGGCCCAGACUCCUACGGGAGGCAGCAGUAGGGAAUUUUCGGCAAUGGGCGCAAGCCUGACCGAGCAACGCCGCGUGAGUGAUUAAGACCUUCGGGUUGUAAAGCUCUGUUGUAAGGGAAGAACAUUCAGGAUAGGAAACGAUCUUGAACUGACGGUACCUUACCAGAAAGCCACGGCUAACUACGUGCCAGCAGCCGCCGUAA
rnacentral:rRNA from 1 species